rnacentral:ribozyme from 16 species
AAAAAAAAAAAAAAAAAAAAAGGCAAAACUUCCGAUUCUUAUUUCUAUCUACUUGCGCUUUUUUUUUUUUUUUCGUUUUUUACAUUUUUU